AAUUAGCUAGGGCAAAAACAUGUAUUAUAAACAGUUAUGGUAUCAAUUAAAAUCUCAAUAUCAUUGUUAUAUUAUGUUGUUGCUCUUCAAAUCCUGCAUAAUUGUCCUUAGUAGCAGAACAGUUCCAUUGGUUAGAAAAUGUAACAAUGUACAUGUCAUUUACAUCAUUCAGUAGUUUGUAUUGAACAGCUUAUGAUUAUUGUGAAGUUGAAAAAUUUAAGAUAUUAUAUCUGUAGAUUUUGUGUGAAUAUUAAUAUUCAAUUAUGACAAGUUUAUGUUCCACCAAUGGCUAAUGGAAAAAUACACCGAUUAUAUUUUGAUUCAUAUGAAAGGCAUUGGAUGUGUAAAAUUAUGUAUAAAAUUGUUUUUUGUUUCCAACAUUAUAUUGCAUAUUGCUUUAUAUAUGCAACAGAAUCUAUGAAUGACAGUGCAUACAUGUAUAUGUAUGUUGUAAACAUUAUGUACUAAGUUUAUUGAUGCUUGAGAUUUAGAACAAUAGUUUGUUGUGUAGUACACACAAAUGUAAAUGUGCAAUCAUAUGUAUUAAAUAUUUUUAAAAAGUC
rnacentral:sRNA from 1 species